rnacentral:rRNA from 1 species
ACUCCUACGAGAGGCAGCAGUGGGGAAUCUUGCACAAUGGGYGAAAGCCUGAUGCAGCGACGCCGCGUGCGGGAUGACGGCCCUCGGGUUGUAAACCGCUUUCAGCAGGGACGAAAUUGACGGUACCUGCAGAAGAAGCCCCGGCCAACUACGUGCCAGCAGCCGCGGUAAUACGUAGGGGGCAAGCGUUGUCCGGAUUUAUUGGGCGUAAAGAGCUCGUAGGCGGUUCGGUAAGUCGGAUGUGAAAUCUCCACGCUCAACGUGGAGGGGCCAUUCGGUACUGCCRUGACUGGAGUCCGGUAGAGGAGUGUGGAAUUCCCGGUGUAGCGGUGAAAUGCGCAGAGAUYSGGAGGAACACCCGUAGCGAAGGCGACACUCUGGGCCGGUACUGACGCUGAGGAGCGAAAGCKUGGGGAGCGAACAGGAUUAGAUACCCUGGUAGUCCMCGCCGUAAACKUUGGGCACWARGUGUGGGGCGCYAUCGACGCGUUCCGUGCCSUAGCUAACGCAUUAAGUUCCCCKCCUGGGGAGUACGSCCGCAAGGCUAAAACUCAAAUGAAUWGRCGG